rnacentral:rRNA from 1 species
UAUUUUCCUUUUUUGCCAGCCGCCGCGGUAAUACGGAAGGUCCGGGCGUUAUCCGGAUUUAUUGGGUUUAAAGGGAGCGUAGGCCGGAGAUUAAGCGUGUUGUGAAAUGUAGAUGCUCAACAUCUGAACUGCAGCGCGAACUGGUUUCCUUGAGUACGCACAAAGUGGGCGGAAUUCGUGGUGUAGCGGUGAAAUGCUUAGAUAUCACGAAGAACUCCGAUUGCGAAGGCAGCUCACUGGAGCGCAACUGACGCUGAAGCUCGAAAGUGCGGGUAUCGAACAGG